UUUUCUAUUUCCUUUUUUUAAUUUUUUCCUUUCAAGAUUUUGGUUUAGAUUUAGCUUUUGCAUUGUCUAGAUCUCCCUUUCCUUCUAGCUUUUUUAAAUUUCUUUUCUUUUUUUUUUCCUUUUCAUUCAUCUUCAUGGCAAAAUAGCAGUCUCCUCCUCCUUUGACUUUGGAGCAGUAGUUGGUGCAAUUGCUUGAUGCUAUGCAAUUGUAGUUGAACAAUCAAACUCAAUUGAUGGUGGUAUUCAUAGGUACAGCUGCUUCUGCUUUUAGUGCCAAUCCUCGUGUUCGGCCGAAGUUCUUUCGUGGAAAUUAAGGAUGCUAUGUACCACUAGUUCAAUCACUUCACAAUGAUUGCUAUAUAUCAUUCUUGGGAUGAUGCUCG
rnacentral:lncRNA from 1 species